CAAGGGAUUUUCCGCAAUGGGCGCAAGCCUGACGGAGCAACGCCGCGUGGGGGAGGAGGCCCUUCGGGGUGUAAACCCCUUUUCUCGGGGACGACGAGCGACGGUACCCGAGGAAGAAGGCCCGGCAAACUACGUGCCAGCAGCCGCGGUAAUACGUAGGGGCCGAGCGUUGUCCGGAGUUACUGGGCGUAAAGCGCGCGCAGGCGGCCGCCCGCGCCCGGCGUGAAAGCCCCCGGCUCAACCGGGGAACGUCGCCGGGGACGGGGUGGCUUGGGGGCGGCAGGGGUCGGUGGAAUGCCCGGUGUAGUGGUGAAAUGCGUAGAGAUCGGGCGGAACACCCGUGGCGAAGGCGGCCGACUGGGCCGGCCCCGACGCUGAGGCGCGAAGGCGUGGGGAGCGAACGG
rnacentral:rRNA from 1 species